GGAUCAGGAGCCAGCGUUGUUCGCCCGACGCCUCGCUGCCGGUGGGAGGAAGCGAGAGGGAAGCCGCUUGCGGGUUUGGCGCCGCUGCUCGCCCACCGCCUGGGAGAGCCGAGCCCCGGCCCAGUCGGUCGCUUGCCACCGCUCGUAGCCGUUACCCGCGGGCCGCCACAGCCGCCGGCCGGGAGAGGCGCGCGCCAUGGCUUCUGGAGCCGAUUCAAAAGGUGAUGACCUGUCAACAGCCAUUCUCAAGCAGAAGAACCGUCCCAAUCGGUUAAUUGUUGAUGAAGCCAUCAAUGAGGACAACAGUGUGGUGUCCUUGUCCCAGCCCAAGAUGGAUGAAUUGCAGUUGUUCCGAGGUGACACAGUGUUGCUGAAAGGAAAGAAGAGACGAGAAGCUGUUUGCAUCGUCCUUUCUGAUGAUACUUGUUCUGAUGAGAAGAUUCGGAUGAAUAGAGUUGUUCGGAAUAACCUUCGUGUACGCCUAGGGGAUGUCAUCAGCAUCCAGCCAUGCCCUGAUGUGAAGUACGGCAAACGUAUCCAUGUGCUGCCCAUUGAUGACACGGUGGAAGGCAUUACUGGUAAUCUCUUUGAGGUAUACCUUAAGCCAUACUUCCUGGAAGCGUAUCGACCCAUCCGGAAAGGAGACAUUUUUCUUGUCCGUGGUGGGAUGCGUGCUGUGGAGUUCAAAGUGGUGGAAACAGAUCCUAGCCCUUAUUGCAUUGUUGCUCCAGACACAGUGAUCCACUGCGAAGGGGAGCCUAUCAAACGAGAGGAUGAGGAAGAGUCCUUGAAUGAAGUAGGUUAUGAUGACAUUGGUGGCUGCAGGAAGCAGCUAGCUCAGAUCAAGGAGAUGGUGGAACUGCCCCUGAGACAUCCUGCCCUCUUUAAGGCAAUUGGUGUGAAGCCUCCUAGAGGAAUCCUGCUUUACGGACCUCCUGGAACAGGAAAGACCCUGAUUGCUCGAGCUGUAGCAAAUGAGACUGGAGCCUUCUUCUUCUUGAUUAAUGGUCCUGAGAUCAUGAGCAAAUUGGCUGGUGAGUCUGAGAGCAACCUUCGCAAAGCCUUUGAGGAGGCUGAGAAGAAUGCUCCUGCCAUCAUCUUCAUUGAUGAGCUGGAUGCCAUCGCUCCCAAAAGAGAGAAAGUAGGAGCUUACCUGAGGGGAUAGAGGGGGGUUGAAAGGCCCUGACUUCACUUCUGACCAGACAUCCUGUUCUGGCAGACUCAUGGCGAGGUGGAGCGGCGCAUUGUAUCACAGUUGUUGACUCUCAUGGAUGGCCUAAAGCAGAGAGCACAUGUGAUUGUUAUGGCAGCAACCAACAGACCCAACAGCAUUGACCCAGCUCUACGGCGAUUUGGUCGCUUUGACAGGGAGGUAGAUAUUGGAAUUCCUGAUGCUACAGGACGCUUAGAGAUUCUUCAGAUCCAUACCAAGAACAUGAAGCUGGCAGAUGAUGUGGACCUGGAACAGGUAGCCAAUGAGACUCACGGGCAUGUGGGUGCUGACUUAGCAGCCCUGUGCUCAGAGGCUGCUCUGCAAGCCAUCCGCAAGAAGAUGGAUCUCAUUGACCUAGAGGAUGAGACCAUUGAUGCCGAGGUCAUGAACUCCCUAGCAGUUACUAUGGAUGACUUCCGGUGGGCCUUGAGCCAGAGUAACCCAUCAGCACUGCGGGAAACCGUGGUAGAAGUGCCACAGGUAACCUGGGAAGACAUCGGGGGCCUAGAGGAUGUCAAACGUGAGCUACAGGAGCUGGUCCAGUAUCCUGUGGAGCACCCAGACAAAUUCCUGAAGUUUGGCAUGACACCCUCCAAGGGAGUUCUGUUCUAUGGACCUCCUGGCUGUGGGAAAACUUUGUUGGCCAAAGCCAUUGCUAAUGAAUGCCAGGCCAACUUCAUCUCCAUCAAGGGUCCUGAGCUUCUCACCAUGUGGUUUGGGGAGUCUGAGGCCAAUGUCAGAGAAAUCUUUGACAAGGCCCGCCAAGCUGCCCCCUGUGUGCUAUUCUUUGAUGAGCUGGAUUCGAUUGCCAAGGCUCGUGGAGGUAACAUUGGAGAUGGUGGUGGGGCUGCUGACCGAGUCAUCAACCAGAUCCUGACAGAAAUGGAUGGCAUGUCCACAAAAAAAAAUGUGUUCAUCAUUGGCGCUACCAACCGGCCUGACAUCAUUGAUCCUGCCAUCCUCAGACCUGGCCGUCUUGAUCAGCUCAUCUACAUCCCACUUCCUGAUGAGAAGUCCCGUGUUGCCAUCCUCAAGGCUAACCUGCGCAAGUCCCCAGUUGCCAAGGAUGUGGACUUGGAGUUCCUGGCUAAAAUGACUAAUGGCUUCUCUGGAGCUGACCUGACAGAGAUUUGCCAGCGUGCUUGCAAGCUGGCCAUCCGUGAAUCCAUCGAGAGUGAGAUUAGGCGAGAACGAGAGAGGCAGACAAACCCAUCAGCCAUGGAGGUAGAAGAGGAUGAUCCAGUGCCUGAGAUCCGUCGAGAUCACUUUGAAGAAGCCAUGCGCUUUGCGCGCCGUUCUGUCAGUGACAAUGACAUUCGGAAGUAUGAGAUGUUUGCCCAGACCCUUCAGCAGAGUCGGGGCUUUGGCAGCUUCAGAUUCCCUUCAGGGAACCAGGGUGGAGCUGGCCCCAGUCAGGGCAGUGGAGGCGGCACAGGUGGCAGUGUAUACACAGAAGACAAUGAUGAUGACCUGUAUGGCUAAGUGGUGGUGGCCAGCGUGCAGUGAGCUGGCCUGCCUGGACCUUGUUCCCUGGGGGUGGGGGCGCUUGCCCAGGAGAGGGACCAGGGGUGCGCCCACAGCCUGCUCCAUUCUUCAGUCUGAACAGUUCAGCUACAGUCUGACUCUGGACAGGGGGUUUCUGUUGCAAAAAUACAAAACAAAAGCGAUAAAAUAAAAGCGAUUUUCAUUUGGUAGGCGGAGAGUGAAUUACCAACAGGGAAUUGGGCCU
rnacentral:sRNA from 1 species